rnacentral:rRNA from 1 species
CUUGUACACACCGCCCGUCACACCAUGGGAGUUGGCUUUACCUGCAGACGGUGCGCUAACCCGCAAGGGAGGCAGCCGGCCACGGUAGGGUCAGCGACUGGGGUGAAGUCGUAACAAGGUAGCCGUAGGGGAACCUGCGGCUGGAUCACCUCCUUU